UGGGGAAUAUUGCACAAUGGGCGCAAGCCUGAUGCAGCCAUGCCGCGUGUGUGAAGAAGGCCUUCGGGUUGUAAAGCACUUUCAGCGAGGAGGAAGGUGGUGAGCUUAAUACGCUCAUCAAUUGACGUUACUCGCAGAAGAAGCACCGGCUAACUCCGUGCCAGCAGCCGCGGUAAUACGGAGGGUGCAAGCGUUAAUCGGAAUUACUGGGCGUAAAGCGCACGCAGGCGGUUUGUUAAGUCAGAUGUGAAAUCCCCGGGCUCAACCUGGGAACUGCAUUUGAAACUGGCAAGCUAGAGUCUCGUAGAGGGGGGUAGAAUUCCAGGUGUAGCGGUGAAAUGCGUAGAGAUCUGGAGGAAUACCGGUGGCGAAGGCGGCCCCCUGGANGAAGACUGACGCUCAGGUGCGAAAGCGUGGGG
rnacentral:rRNA from 1 species